GAUGAACGCUGGCGGCGUGCCUAAUACAUGCAAGUCGAGCGAACAGACGAUGAUCUUGCUCCUCUGACGUUAGCGGCGGACGGGUGUGUAACACGUGUAUAACCUACCUAUAAGACUGGGAUAACUUCGGGAAACCGGAGCUAACACCGGAUAAUAUAUUGAACCGCAUGGUUCAAUAGUGAAAUACGGUUUUGCUGUCACUUAUAGAUGGAUCCGCGCCGCAUUAGCUAGUUGGUAAGGUAACGGCUUAUCAAGGCAACGAUGCGUAUGCGACCGGAGAGGGUGAUCGGCCACACCGGAACUGAGACACGGUCCAGACGCCUACGGGAGGCAGCAGUAGGGAAUCUUCCGCAAUGGGCGAAAGCGUGACGGAGAAACGCCGCGUGAGUGAUGAAGGUCUUCGGAUCGUAAAACUCUGUUAUUAGGGAAGAACAAAUGUGUAAGUAACUAUGCACGUCUUGACGGUAACUAAUCAGAAAGCCACGGCUAACUACGUG
rnacentral:rRNA from 1 species